GUCUACUCUUUCUCAGGAAACUACUAGAGAAUCUGGUCCAGAAAAAAGAGGAAGUAAGUGAAGAAAAAGGAAGACAUGCAAUACAGGAAACAGAGGAUUUAGGAGCCUACGGAAAUUCCCAGGGGGCAGUAAAAGAAUGUUCCGGAAUGACAGCUGUGCGGCAGCCCUGGACAGCAGCCUUAAAACAGAAGACUCAUGAAAGAAUGUACCUAAAAGAUCAAAGAGAACUCAUACACUCUGAGAGGGGAAAAAGAACAUUUCCAAAGAGCCUGAAAGGUCUUCCCCAUCUGUCUAUUUGUGCUACAUCAGUUUCCAAAUGUUCUGAGUUUCUGGGUAAAAUCAUAUUUCAAGCCUCGUUUCUGUUCAUCCAACACAUGGUGAAGUUUGAAAGCUUGUGCAGCACUAUGGAAAUUUGAGGUCAUAGGUGGAUGAUUCUGAAGCUGAGGUCGCCAUUUUGAUGCUACCGUUAUUGUUCCAGAUGUCUGAAGUCCUUUCAACCAUGUGAAAAGAAGAAGAAAAAUGCAUUAUCUUUUCUUUCAGGACAACUCUGGCUGAUCCACUGAAACAGGCUGGAGGUAGAAACAGAGAAAACCCCAUGAUGGACACUGGUGACUACAAUAAUCCAGAGAACAACAGUCCUGGUCCUACCCCCCACCCCCUGAUGCAAAGGAGAGUUGGGAUGAGCUGAGCUGAGCUCUGGCUGGGGCAGAGGAACAAACUGUGGACAAAACAGAAGAGGCAUUUAGUCAUUAAAGGAUAAGACUUAACUAGGUCAUUGCAAUACCAAGAUUUGAUCUAAACACAGGGGAUAUGUGAUUUGCCAUUUUCUCAUGGAAAGCAGCUUUCAUUCUUCAUCUGGAACGCAACAACAAUCAUUCCCCAGAUUGAUCAAAAUGACUGAAUUUCAAGGUGAGCUGUGUUGGUGACUAGCUCAUUUUCCCUCACCUCCAGCACCCUCCUUUCCUAGAUCAAGCAAUUUUCCUGUGUAAUGAACUGUAUCUGAUACCAAGUGGCCUGGAAAUUAAGAGGUCCCAAGCAUCUCCCAGACCCUUGUUCCCUAUUUGGUAUCAUGAUGUCUUUUGCUGCUACACCAUUGAUCCGAGUUUUCCAGGGCUCUGCAAAGGAGAAAUGCAACAAUGAAUGGAACUCCAGAACAAUUCUGUAUCUGGGGGAAGAGCUUCAAUUGAUUUUGAAUUAUUCAGGGGAUGGUUUUCUAGCUAAUGGGUUGUCCAAUUCUUUGCAUCAAGUGCUUCUGUCUGGUUGAUAACAUUUUGGUCAGUUUGAUGCUGACUGGCAGUGGAAGGGGAGGGGAUGUAAAGGAGGACAUGCGUUAUAAUCAACAUCAACCCCCGAAGUGAACUGUAGUGGUUUGAUUUACAUCCAUAAUGUACCCAAAGUCUGCAGAAAGUGAGCUUGAGGGAGGACAAAAAUAUAAGUAAACUAAAGAAUAAGGAAAACAGAAAUUCAGGCCAUAUGUUCUCUUGACUUACUAUGACUUCUGUAGGUACAGAAAAUAAAAUGAAGAACUAAUCAAUUUAUUCAACUGUUUCAUGACACUAAUUAUAUUUUUCUCCUAUAGUCAAUGUUUUCAUCUUUUUCUGUUAGUAGACAGUAUCUGAGUAAUUUCUUCUACUACCCAUUUCUGCUAUUUAUAAAGUUUAUGCUAGGAUUUGAUAUUUGAUAUUCAUAUAUUAGGAGGCUUCCCUGUUGGCCCAGUGGUAAAGAAUCUGCCUGCAAUACAGGAGACACAGGAGAUGCAGGUUUGAUCCC